GCAGUCGACGGUAAGGCCCCGCCUUGCGGGACACACGAGUGGCGCACGGGUGCGUAACGCGUAUGCAACCUACCUUCAACUGGAGAAUAGCCCCGANANAUCGGGAUUAAUACUCCAUAAAUUCCGUUUAUCACCUGAUUUACGGAUUAAAGUUCCGACGGUUGGAGAUGGGCAUGCGUGGCAUUAGUUUGUUGGUGAGGUAACGGCUCACCAAGACUACGAUGUCUAGGGGUUCUGAGAGGAUUGUCCCCCACACUGGUACUGAGACACGGACCAGACUCCUACGGGAGGCAGCAGUAAGGAAUAUUGGUCAAUGGACGAAAGUCUGAACCAGCCAUGCCGCGUGCAGGAUGACAGCCCUACGGGUUGUAAACUGCUUUUAUACGGGAAGAAUCCCCUGUACGUGUACAGGGUUGACGGUACCGUACGAAUAAGCAUCGGCUAACUCCGUGCCAGCAGCCGCGGUAAUACGGAGGAUGCAAGCGUUAUCCGGAUUCAUUGGGUUUAAAGGGUGCGUAGGCGGAAUGAUAAGAUAGUGGUGAAAUCCCCCGGCUCAACCGGGGAACUGCCAUUAAUACUGUUAUUCUUGAGUAUAGUUGAAGUGGGCGGAAUGUAUUAUGUAGCGGUGAAAUGCUUAGAUAUGAUACAGAACACCGAUAGCGUAGGCAGCUUGCUAAACUAUAACUGACGCUCA
rnacentral:rRNA from 1 species